AGGCACCACAACGGGUGGAGCUUGCGGUUUAAUUUGGAUUCAACGCCGGAAAUCUUACCGGGACCGACAGCAAUAUGAAGGCCAGGCUGAAGACUUUGCCGGAUUAGCUGAGAGGUGGUGCAUGGCCGUCGUCAGUUCGUACUGUGAAGCAUCCUGUUAAGUCAGGCAACGAGCGAGACCCACGCCCACAGUUGCCAGCGUACUCUCUGGAGUGACGGGUACACUGUGGGACCGCCGCUGCUAAAGCGGAGGAAGGAAUGGGCAACGGUAGGUCAGUAUGCCCCGAAUAUCCCGGGCUACACGCGAGCUACAAUGGUUGGUACAAUGGGUAUCUACCCCGAAAGGGGACGGGAAUCUCCUAAAACCAAUCUUAGUUCGGAUUGAGGGCUGCAACUCGCCCUCAUGAAGCUGGAAUCCGUAGUAAUCGCGUUUCAACAGAACGCGGUGAAUACGUCCCUGCUCCUU
rnacentral:rRNA from 1 species